rnacentral:misc_RNA from 1 species
GAUGAAGAACGUAGCGAAAUGCGAUAAGUAAUGUGAAUUGCAGAAUUCCGUGAAUCAUCGAAUCUUUGAACGCAUACUGCGCCCUCUGGCAUUCCGGGGGGCAUGCCUGUUCGAGCGUCAUUUCACCACUCAAGCCUCGCUUGGUAUUGGGCAACGCGGUCCGCCGCGUGCCUCAAAUCGACCGGCUGGGUCUUCUGUCCCCUAAGCGUUGUGGAAACUAUUCGCUAAAGGGUGUUCGGGAGGCUACGCCGUAAAACAACCCCAUUUCUAAGGUUGACCUCGGAUCAGGUAGGGAUACCCGCUGAACUUAAGCAUAUCAAUAAGCGGAGGA